ACGUUUCCUUGUGUCCAGGAUGGACGGUGGGCGACUGUACGAUAGUUCCAUUGAUACUGAUAUAUAAGACACGAGUUGUGCAAGUUUUGGUAUUUCAUCUUCGGAUGGAUCGGUAUUCCUUAACAGGAAUCUCCUAAAGUCCUCUUGCCGUUCACCACUAACCCACAGACUGUAACCCUUAUAUCGCGACCAGUCUCCUUGCCUUCAUAUUCUUAACAGGUUAUGAGCCCCGGCUCACGCUAGUAGCUUACAUAGCUAACGCGAAGAAGGCAUAGGACGCCUGCAAGCAACUACAGUUGGACUUUUUGGGAGUAGGACACGAUUUCAGCGAUUCUGAGCGGGCACACACUUUGCUUGUUGGUUUGCCCAGCCGCUUCAGCAUGGUAACUACAUCCCUACUGGUGCGUGACGGCAAUUCGGACGUGGCUAUCGUCACCUCGAAGUUCUUGACUAUCGAGAUGGCAAGCGGUGGGUCUGGUAAGCCUACCGAGUUGGCAGCUUUUGCUUCUGUCGGCAGUUUUUCGUUUGGCGCCGCUGGUUUUGGUCUUGGGGAUCGUGGCGCGGCCAGCAACAGUUCUGCCCGUCAUGACCAAAAGGCGUGGUUUGCAGCCUCUAUUGCGGCCCGUAGGGCCGCGCGCUGGUGUGUUUGACAUCGGAUCUUUCUUAGGUUUACUGACCAAAAUUAUGCCCUUCCGCAGCCGUAAAAUCGAUUUGCUGACCUCUGGUUGUCAUUAUAGCUUAUUUGCUUUUAGAUUUAAUUGAUACAGGCGAUGGUGAAGCGUGGACUAGUUAGCAUUCAACGUUUUCUCUCUCUUUCUUCUGUGGUGCGACUGAAGCUCUACUAAAGGCGUGUAUUCAGUUCGGAUUCAGGCGGUUUUAGGAUGAUGGCUGUGUUCCACGGCAUCGAUUAUCGCAGCCUCAAUCGCCGGAGAAACUGGCCACUUAGGACUUGACAGGGCUGCGCUUAGUGGGCGUGACAUCCCACUUCCAACUCUACCUUCUCAUUUCCCCAUGUUCGUGCGCACUGCGUUGGCACUUUCGGGCGCAACGCAGAACGCACUUCGCCUCAGCCAAAGGAAACAGAAAUCGAGACAAGAAUCCACGAAAGCACCCACGGCCAAAGAUGAUUUCUAAAAGCACCGCAAUUCAACAUGUUUAUAAUAUGCAGUAUGGUUAGGCAUCUGCAAACAUAAGAUGCGCCAUUUUGUUGUCUAUGGGCACUAGCAGAUGUAGCUAUGCAAUACAGUGAAGUAAGUUUCAAAUUGGGCAAAGUGCAAAGGCAAA
rnacentral:lncRNA from 1 species